rnacentral:rRNA from 1 species
AUUGAACGCUGGCGGCAGGCCUAACACAUGCAAGUCGAACGAGUGGCGGACGGGUGAGUAAUGUCUGGGAAACUGCCUGAUGGAGGGGGAUAACUACUGGAAACGGUAGCUAAUACCGCAUACUAUAGGAAGUGCCCAGAUGGGAUUAGCUAGUAGGUGGGGGAACGGCUAACCAAGGCGACGUUCCCUAGCUGGUCUGAGAGGAUGACCAAACACACUGGAACCGAGUCACGGUCCAGUCUCCUACGGUAGGCAGCAGUGGGGAAUAUUGCACAAUGGUCGCAAGCCUGAUGCAGCCAUGCCGCGUGUAUGAGGAAGGCCUUCGGGUUGUAAAGUAUUUUCAGCUGGGAGGCGUUACCCGCAGAAGAAGCACCGGCUAACUCCGUGCCAGCAGCCGCGGUAAUAC